rnacentral:rRNA from 1 species
UAUGUUAGCUUGCUAAUAUAUUUAGUAGCAAAUGGGUGAGUAACACGUACCUAACCUACCUUUUGGACCGGGAUAACUAUUGGAAACAGCAGCUAAUACCGGAUAAAAUAAAAAAAUGCAUGUUUUUUUAUUAAAAGGAGCCUUUAAAGCUCCACCAAAAAAUGGGGGUGCGCAACAUUAGUUAGUUGGUAGGGUAAAGGCCUACCAAGACGAUGAUGUUUAGCGGGGCCAAGAGGCUGUACCGCCACACUGGGAUUGAGAUACGGCCCAGACUCCUACGGGAGGCAGCAGUAAGGAAUAUUCCACAAUGAGCGAAAGCUUGAUGGAGCGACACAAAGUGCAG